CUGCGAGUGAAGCGGGAAGAGCUCAAAUUUAAAAUCUGGCGGCUUUUUGGUCGUCCGAGUUGUAACCUGGAGAGGCAUUUUCCGCGUUGGACCGUGUACAAGUCUCCUGGAAUGGAGCGUCAUAGAGGGUGAGAAUCCCGUCCAUGACACGGACCGCCAAUGCUUUGUGAUAUGCCUUCGAAGAGUCGCGUUGUUUGGGAAUGCAGCGCAAAAUGGGUGGUAAAUUCCAUCUAAAGCUAAAUAUUGGCGAGAGACCGAUAGCGAACAAGUACCGUGAGGGAAAGAUGAAAAGCACUUUGGAAAGAGAGUUAAACAGUACGUGAAAUUGUUGAAAGGGAAACGCUUGAAGUCAGUCGCGUUCCGUGGAACUCAGCCUUACUUCGGUUUGGUGUACUUUCCAUGUGAACGGGUCAACGUCAAUUUUGGCCGGUGGAUAAAGGCAAAGGGAAUGUAGCGUUGCUUCGGUGACGUGUUAUAGCCCCUUGUUGUAUACACCGGCUGGGAUUGAGGACCGCAGCAUGCCCUUGUGGCCGGGGGUUCGCCCCACGUACCGUGCUUAGGAUGUUGGCAUAAUGGCUUUAAGCGACCCGUCUUGAAACACGGACCAAGGAGUCUAACAUGCUUGCGAGUGUUCGGGUGGAAAACCCUUGCGCGUAAUGAAAGUGAAAGUUAGGAACCUUCUCGCAAGAGGGGGUGCACUGACGCCCGGCCCUGACGUUCUCUGACGGUGCUGCGGUAGAGCAAGUAUGUUGGGACCCGAAAGAUGGUGAACUAUGCCUGAAUAGGGCGAAGCCAGAGGAAACUCUGGUGGAGGCUCGUAGCGAUUCUGACGUGCAAAUCGAUCGUCAAAUUUGGG
rnacentral:rRNA from 1 species